GCAAAUCUGCUUGCUUCUCUGCCAUUUCAGUCUCCCCCGCCCCCAAGCCUUGGCAGUGUGAUGCCAAAUCAACCUUUCUUUCCACCCACGGAGUGGUCUAGUUUGGUGGUUUCGCCACACCCUUAUUGGCACUGUGUGAAGUGAAAAGGCAAACAAAAAGCAGCGGGUGCCAUUUGAGUCCAAAGUGCAAACAGUCCGAACUCUCGGGAAGCAUCUGCGCGAGGCUAAGGGCAGUGGGGCUGGCGUGAAGGCAAGGAGAAAUGACAAGCCGACAAGGGACUUUCCAGGUUGUUCAAAGAGGCGUGAAAAAAUUCUGGAUGCAUGUGUCAUCUUGAUUUGAGAAUGGUUUCUCAGGCGGGCACCAACAACAGACCAAGUAAUGACACCCAAGUCAAAUUUGUUGAACCAGUGAAUUCGGGGGGCUCACCCAGUAACAAAG